GACGAACGCUGGCGGCGUGCUUAACACAUGCAAGUCGAACGGAAAGGCCCUGCUUUUGUGGGGUGCUUGAGUGGCGAACGGGUGAGUAACACGUGAGUAACCUGCCCUUGACUUUGGGAUAACUUCAGGAAACUGGGGCUAAUACCGGAUAGGAGCUCCUGCUGCAUGGUGGGGGUUGGAAAGUUUCGGCGGUUGGGGAUGGACUCGCGGCUUAUCAGCUUGUUGGUGGGGUAGUGGCUUACCAAGGCUUUGACGGGUAGCCGGCCUGAGAGGGUGACCGGCCACAUUGGGACUGAGAUACGGACCAGACUCCUACGGGAGGCAGCAGUGGGGAAUAUUGCACAAUGGGCGGAAGCCUGAUGCAGCAACGCCGCGUGCGGGAUGACGGCCUUCGGGUUGUAAACCGCUUUCGCCUGUGACGAAGCGUGAGUGACGGUAAUGGGUAAAGAAGCACCGGCUAACUACGUG
rnacentral:rRNA from 1 species